CCUACGGGAGGCAGCAGUGGGGAAUAUUGGACAAUGGGCGAAAGCCUGAUCCAGCAAUGCCGCGUGAGUGAUGAAGGCCUUCGGGUCGUAAAGCUCUUUUACCAGGGAUGAUAAUGACAGUACCUGGAGAAUAAGCUCCGGCUAACUCCGUGCCAGCAGCCGCGGUAAUACGGAGGGAGCUAGCGUUGUUCGGAAUUACUGGGCGUAAAGAGUACGUAGGCGGUUAUUCAAGUCAGAGGUGAAAGCCCGGGGCUCAACCCCGGAACUGCCUUUGAAACUAGAUAGCUAGAGUCUUGGAGAGGUUAGUGGAAUUCCGAGUGUAGAGGUGAAAUUCGUAGAUAUUCGGUAAGAACACCAGUGGCGAAGGCGACUAACUGGACAAGUACUGACGCUGAGGUACGAAAGCGUGGGGAGCAAACAGGAUUAGAUACCCUGGUAGUCCACGCCGUAAACGAUGAUAACUAGUUGUUCGGUCACUUGGUGACUGAGUGACGCAGCUUAACGCAUUAAGUUAUCCGCCUGGGGAUACGGUCGCAAGNUUAAACCUUAAAUGAAUUGACGGCUGNGAGNGCGACGACGACGACGAGGAGUAG
rnacentral:rRNA from 1 species